CACCCACCAUCAGACAAGAAAUACUGUGCAGCCUUCAAAGAAACUUCAAUAGUCGAUAAAUAUGGAUGCAACUUCAUAAAAAAACUUCAAUGCAUAACGUAAAGGAGCAGCAUACAGCAGCCGUGCAAUUAUUAUAGUGUACCUUAUUGUGGCAUCAUUUUCAUUAUGUGACCCGAGGAGAGAACCAUCGAGCUCUGUACAAAUUUAUACAUCUAUCACUUAAGUGGAUCUUUAUACAUCUAUCCAAUCCUGGUAGAAGGAUAGGGACAAACAGAACAAGAGAAACAAAAAGUAGGAAGAAUUUACGGGGUACGUAUAUCUUUAAGUUCUAUGACGUGGUAAUGAAGGUGCAUGGAAUCAGCAGCUUUUGGCUGCUGGUACGUUUCACGUCCAAUCCGCUUCAUUGCCGAGUGUUGGGAUAUUUUGUAUACUACUUCCUGCCUUGGUAGUUUCAUCUUACAUACUGGAGGGAAAAACAAGGAUUGAUAAAUGGGAAAGCUUAAAAACAACAAGAGAAGGGUUUAUACCUCUAGCAGCGAGAUGUAAUAGAAAUCCUCCAU
rnacentral:lncRNA from 1 species